rnacentral:rRNA from 1 species
UAAGCCACGAAAGAGGCGCGGCACACAGCUCAGUAACACGUGGCUAACCUGCCCUCGGGACGGGAAUACCCCCGGGAAACUGGGGCUAAUUCCCGAUAGGCGAAGAACUCUGGAAUGAGUCUCCACUCAAAAGACGCUAAAGUCAUGCUCUUUGGCGUCGCCCAAGGAUGGGGCCGCGACCGAUCAGGUAGUUGGUGAGGUAAUGGCUCACCAAGCCUUUUACCGGUGCGGGCCGUGGGAGCGGGAGCCCGGAGAUGGGCACUGAGACAAGGGCCCAGGCCCUACGGGGCGCAGCAGUCGCGAAAACUUUGCAAUACACGAAAGUGUGACAGGGCUAUCCCGAGUGCCAUCCGCUGAGGAAGGCUUUUACCCAGUAUAGAAAGCUGGGGGAAUAAGGGGAGGGCAAGUCUGGUGUCAGCCGCCGCGGUAAUACCAGCUCUCCGAGUGGUGUGGAUGUUUAUUGGGCCUAAAGCAUCCGUAGCUGGCUGGACAAGUCCCCUGUUAAAUCCACCGAAUUAAUCGUUGGAUUGCGGGGGAUACUGUUCGGCUAGGGGACGGGAGAGGCCGACGGUAUUCUCGGGGUAGGGGUGAAAUCCUAUAAUCCCGGGAAGACCACCAGUGGCGAAGGCUGUCGGCUAGAACGCGCCCGACGGUGAGGGAUGAAAGCUGGGGGAGCGAACCGGAUUAGAUACCCGGGUAGUCU